GCGGUAGAGGAGCGUCGUGUAAGCCGAUGAAGGUGUGUUGAGAAGCAUGCUGGAGGUAUCACGAGUGCGAAUGCUGACAUGAGUAACGACAAGGGGAGUGAAAAACUCCCCCGCCGGAAGACCAAGGGUUUCUGUUCGACGCUAAUCGGAGCAGAGUGAGUCGGCCCCUAAGGCGAGGCCGAAAGGCGUAGUCGAUGGGAAACGGGUCAAUAUUCCCGUACCUCACAGUAUUGCGAUGGGGGGACGAAGAAGGCUAGGUGAGCCAGGCGUUGGUUGUCCUGGUGAAAGCCGGUAGGCUGAGGAUUCAGGUAAAUCCGGAUCCUUAAGGCCGAGAGGCGAGACGAACUGACUACGGUCAGGAAGUCAUCGAUGCCACGCUUCCAGGAAAAGCCUCUAAGCUUCAGAUACUGUGAGACCGUACCCCAAACCGACACAGGUGGUCAGGUAGAGAAUACCAAGGCGCUUGAGAGAACUCGGGUGAAGGAACUAGGCAAAAUGGUGCCGUAACUUCGGGAGAAGGCACGCCGCAUUAGGGUGAAGGUCCUCGCGACCGGAGCCUGACGCGGUCGAAGAUACCAGGUGGCUGCAACUGUUUAUUAAAAACACAGCACUCUGCAAACGCGCAAGCGGACGUAUAGGGUGUGACGCCUGCCCGGUGCCGGAAGGUUAAGUGAUGGUGUUAGCUCACGCGAAGCUCCUGAUCGAAGCCCCGGUAAACGGCGGCCGUAACUAUAACGGUCCUAAGGUAGCGAAAUUCCUUGUCGGGUAAGUUCCGACCUGCACGAAUGGCGUAAUGAUGGCCACGCUGUCUCCACCCGAGACUCAGUGAAAUUGAAAUCGCAGUGAAGAUGCUGUGUACCCGCGGCUAGACGGAAAGACCCCGUGAACCUUUACUACAGCUUCACACUGGACGCUGAUGUUGCUUGUGUAGGAUAGCUGGGAGGCUUUGAAACCCUGUCGCCAGAUGGGGUGGAGCCAACCUUGAAAUACCAGCCUGGCAUCAUUGGCGUUCUAACUCAGGACCGUAAUCCGGUUCGAGGACCGUGUGUGGUGGGUAGUUUGACUGGGGCGGUCUCCUCCCAAAGAGUAACGGAGGAGCACGAAGGUACCCUCAGCACGGUUGGAAAUCGUGCAGUGAGUGCAAGAGCAUAAGGGUGCUUAACUGCGAGACAGACACGUCGAGCAGAUACGAAAGUAGGUUCUAGUGAUCCGGUGGUUCUGUAUGGAAGGGCCAUCGCUCAACGGAUAAAAGGUACUCCGGGGAUAACAGGCUGAUACCGCCCAAGAGUUCACAUCGACGGCGGUGUUUGGCACCUCGAUGUCGGCUCAUCACAUCCUGGGGCUGAAGUCGGUCCCAAGGGUAUGGCUGUUCGCCAUUUAAAGUGGUACGCGAGCUGGGUUUAGAACGUCGUGAGACAGUUCGGUCCCUAUCUGCCGUGGGCGUUGGAGAUUUGAGAAGCGCUGCUCCUAGUACGAGAGGACCGGAGUGGACGUACCUCUGGUGUUCCGGUUGUCACGCCAGUGGCAUUGCCGGGUAGCUAUGUACGGACGGGAUAACCGCUGAAAGCAUCUAAGCGGGAAGCCCCCUUCAAGAUGAGAUCUCCCUGAGGCCUUGAGCCUCCUAAAGGACCCAGCAAGACCAGCUGGUUGAUAGGCCGGGUGUGGAAGCGCUGCAAGGCGUUGAGCUAACCGGUACUAAUGGUCCGUGAGGCUUGACCAUAUAACACCCAAAGGGUUUUG
rnacentral:rRNA from 1 species